CUCCUGACUCGUUCAUCCCAGACGGUGAGACCACCCCCACCCCGCUCUGCCAGGACACUCACCCGCUCACACACGGACACGGUCAGGACUAGUCCUGGCCUGUCGCCCAAGCAAGCAGACCAGUUACAGGUCGGACAGACUUCACCCUUCACUGCCCAUGUCACCCAUUCCCCACCUGCUGGUAUCUGAGCUAGAAUUUAGGGGCCCUAAAUCCAGGCUUCUAGCCUCAGCACCAGGUCCUUCCCACUCUCAUCCCUGCGCUUGGCAGUUGAAGAUUCCACCUGAUGAGCCUGCCCUUCAGGAUGAGGACAGCAGCUGGGAUUCCAGAAAGCUCCCCAGGCACUAGCCCAGGAUUCACAAAUGAUGUCCCUGCAGGCAGCUGUGGGCCACGCACAGAUGAGUCAAGACUGACAAGGGGACAAUCUGAUAUGCCAGCUGGAUAUGAGCAGCUUGAUGAUCCUCGUCCACCGUGGCCUGGCUGCCAGGAGAGCCAGCUGAAUGACUCAGUGACACCUGCCUCCCCCGUGACCUCCCACCCCCAGGUGAACACAGACACCACAAACACCUAGACACAUCGGGCUGUCAGUGCCGAAGUACACACGUGGUAAAGCCUACAGCUGGGUAUUGGUGGUUGGGGAGGCUCCCUGGGGCCUGCGGGGCCCUGGGUGGUCUCCUGCCUCUCUGGAGCACUAAGCUUCUUCAUCUGUGGAAGUGGGAGGUACUCUGCCUGGAAGAUCACCUGAAAUGGUCCCAGAUCCAUUUUAAAUCUCCAGAGCAGUCCUAAGCUAUUGUGUCUCCCCACAUCACACAUGAAGAAACUGGGUGACAUGGGUCGAUGGCUUCACCCCUCUGAGCAGCCAGAUCUUGGUCACUAGGUGGAGAAGCUACUCUCGCCUGGAAGUGGGGGUUGGAGGUGGGCGGAGGCCCCUCCGGCUAGGCAACAGCACCCCCUGCCAGCUGAGCAGUACCUGCUGAACAGCUGAGGUUCCUCUACUCCCUAACUGGAGGUCUUGGGGAGUCAGUGACUUAUUCUAGAAUCUUCUUUCCUCAUCUGCAAAACAGAGAUGAUAAAGAAUAGCAACUGCCACACAGGGCUGGCUUGAGGACUGACUGACUAGAUAGUAUAUAUAAAGCCUUCGGCCAAUGCCCACUCUCAGGACAGGUCCAAUAUUGUCAGAAGGCCCCCAAGAACAGAUUUGCCAAGUGGCCAGGGUCCCUGCUGAGGCCUCUGCCCACCAGGUGGGCAAGUCUUCUUAAUAUCCGCAUUUUUCCUCAGAGAAGGAAAUGCAGGCAGGGGAUUGUGACAUUAUGACUCCUGACUGGCUGAUCCGAGGUCUAAGCCCCACGGUCUAGCCUGGUGACCAACUGUGCUGGGCGAGGCAGAGGCCCCAGACAUGAGCACCUGGGGUGACACACGUUUCCCGGGCUGCUGGUGGAGACAGUGCUUCAGGUGGCUUUCACCAGAGAAAUCUGCUGGCACUGCCCUGACCAGGGGACCAAACUGAACAUCACCAGCAGUGGGGACAAGGUGGCAUCACACAGCUACUGGUGGAUGCUAAGGGUACAUACAACACUCCUGGGCAAGGUUCUCACUAGUCAACUCAAACCUGAACUCAACCAACUUCUAGCUUAUAGGAAACACAGCAGACAAAACAACAAAUCAGACUGUGGGACUUCUCCAGGACAACUCACCUGGGCUUUUCAAAAUAGUCAGUGUCAAGAAAGAUUAAAAGGUAGGGAGGCAGGGAGACAGUUCUAGAAGAGGCUAAAGAGAGAUGACAACCAAAUGCAAUACAUGAAACUUGACUGGAGCCUGACUUAAAAAACAACUAUGAAUGACAUUUUGGGGAGAAAUUCAUACAUGCCUGGAUAUUAGAUAUUAGUGUCAGAGAAUUGUUCAUUUAGGGGCCAAAUAACAGUACUGUGGUUACAGGCUUAUUCUUAGCAGACACAGGAUGAAGUACGGAGAAGUGAAGGGUCAUGUGUCUGCAGCUUACUUUCAAGUAUAUUUAUAUUCUACACACACAUAAAUAAAACCAAAGCUGCAACAUGUUAACAACUGUUAAAUCUAGGUGGUGGGUAUACAAAAGUGUUCACUACAUUAUUCUUUCAAUUUUUUGGCAUACUUGCAACUUUUCCUAAUCAAACCAUUGGGAGAAAUUUUAAAAAUGAACC